rnacentral:rRNA from 1 species
UACGGGGGGGGCAAGCGUUGUUCGGAAUUACUGGGCGUAAAGGGCUCGUAGGUGGCCAACUAAGUCAGACGUGAAAUCCCUCGGCUUAACCGGGGAACUGCGUCUGAUACUGGAUGGCUUGAGUUUGGGAGAGGGAUGCGGGAUUCCAGGUGUAGCGGUGAAAUGCGUAGAUAUCUGGAGGAACACCGGUGGCGAAGGCGGCAUUCUGGACCGGCAUUGACGCUGAUGCGCGAAAGCCAGGGGAGCAAACGGG